GAUGAACGCUAGCGGAGGCUUAACACAUGCAAGUCGAGGGCAGCACGGGGUAGCAAUACUCUGGUGGCGACCGGCAAACGGGUGAGUAACGCGUAUGUAACCUACCCUGUACAGGGGGAUAACCCGGAGAAAUUCGGACUAAUAUCCCAUAACAAUAUUCAGAGGCAUCUUUGGAUAUUUAAAGUUCCGGCGGUACGGGAUGGGCGUGCGUAACAUUAGCUAGUUGGUAAGGUAACGGCCUACCAAGGCUUUGAUGUUUAGGGGUCCUGAGAGGGUGGUCCCCCACACUGGUACUUAGACACGGACCAGACUCCUACGGGAGGCAGCAGUGAGGAAUAUUGGUCAAUGGGCGCAAGCCUGAACCAGCCAUCCCGCGUGCAGGAAGACGGCGCUAUGCGUUGUAAACUGCUUUUCCAGGGAGAGAAACUUGCGCACGUGUUGCGCAAUUGACGGUACCCUGGGAAUAAGCAUCGGCUAACUCCGUG
rnacentral:rRNA from 1 species